rnacentral:rRNA from 1 species
AGUUCGUGGAGUGAUCUGUCUGCUUAAUUGCGUUUCAAAAUUUAACUUGAGGACCGGGUUUUGGUUUGGCUAGUGGUUCUACGAUGACUGUGAACUGUCAUGUCUUCGGAUGUGCGACUAUUGGUCUAGGAUCACAUGACUUGCCCCUGGGACUCUUUUGAACGCAACGGACGUGAUUGCAACCCCUUGUUGAGAUUAGAGAUAGUCUCGAUAUUCACUGGACAAACUGGCUGCUUUAUGCAGUCUUGUUGAAUGGUGGAUAAACUCGGGGGACUGCUGACUAUAACCAUUUCUCAAAACAGAGGAAGGUUGCGGCAAUAACAGGUCUGUGAUGCCCUCAGAUGUCCCGGGCUGCACACGUGCUACAAUGAGUGGCGCAAUGUGCUAAUGUUUAAGGGAUAAGAGUGUGGUCAGUAGAACGUCGGGAUUUCCCCUGACGUCUCCCCCGCACGAUUAUCAGCCUUCCCUUAACAGGGCGGGCAACCUUUUCAAAAUACUGGUUUGAUGUUAAAGUAUUGAGUCGUUUUUUUUGGAUGGUGGUUUGUUAACCAAUACCAUCCGGCAACUGCUCGCGAGUUUGUGGUUCUGGCGAC